rnacentral:rRNA from 1 species
ACUACGGGUGGCAGCAGUGGGGAAUAUUGCACAAUGGGCGAAAGCCUGAUGCAGCAACGCCGCGUGAAUGAAGAAGGGUUUCGGCUCGUAAACCUCUAUCAACAGGGACGAAAGAAAUGACGGUACCUGAAUAAGAAGCCCCGGCUAACUACGUGCCAGCAGCCGCGGUAAUACGUAGGGGGCAAGCGUUAUCCGGAAUUACUGGGUGUAAAGGGUGAGUAGACGGAUAGGUAAGUCUGAUGUGAAAGGCCUGGGCUUAACCCGGGGAUUGGAUGGGGAACUAUCAAGCUUGAGUGCAGGAGAGGAAAGCGGAAUUCCUAGUGUAGCGGUGAAAUGCGUAGAUAUUAGGAAGAACACCAGUGGCGAAGGCGGCUUUCUGGACUGAAACUGACGCUGAGGCUCGAAAGCGUGGGGAGCGAACAGGAUUAGAUACCCGGGUAGUC